UGGCUGCUGUCUACCAGCAACCCAUCCAGGUAGUGACGGUCGCCACCACUAAUAAAAACUCCGGGCGAUGGAGCACCAACCUCUGUAAUUGCUGCUCUGAUAUGCACACCUGUUGCUAUGGCCUUUGGUGUUUACCCUGCAUGCAGUGUGAGACAGUCAGUAGACAUGGAUGGUGCUGCGUCUUGCCUCUCCUGGACGGUUGCUGUGUGGUGUCCUACUUAUUCCGCAAGUCCAUCAGGGAGCGCUACAACAUCCCUGGUUCAUCCUGUGCCGACUGCUGUCAAAUAUUUUGGUGUUACGAGUGUGCUUGGUGCCAGAUGCAUCGUGAGCUGAAAAUCAGGGCCAGGCAGGCACCUGCCAUCUUGACGGUGGUCACCACGCAGGUCAUCCAUGGAUAGAAUAUCAACCUCGUGUGUCAAGUGCAUGUCACUUUUUCUUAAUUAAACUUAUUUGUCAUAAUAUUGCAAUUAAAAAACAUUUAAGAAACAUUUAGUUGUUUGUACAGCUUGAAAUGAAAGCAAAGAAAUGUAGCCCCUUUGUAUCUGCUUUUUCAUAGCAUUGCAGAGCUCAUUGCGAGUGCUAGCAUGGUGUAGGUGAUACGUGAGAGCCACAUUAGUUGCUUUACUUUUAGAACAUUUUUAUUACGAAGAUGUUUGAACUUUUCAUAAAUGCUUUGUUAGUGCAUUAAAAUUGAGGAUAUAUCAUGACAUAGCAUAUAAUAUCAUCACUUUCUUCCAAUCGUUCACCAACUGGGUUUAAGCUAUGCUAAAAUAAAGCAUUCAUAGUCACCUGUCUAAUGCAUUCUUUCACCUUUUUUAUACAAAUGUAUGAAAACACGUCUUCAAACCUUUCACCCUUUUCUCAAACCCUAAAUACAAAAGCCAAAAUGACCUGCAUCAAAACUGUUUGUCUGUGGCCAAAACCACACAGUAGUUUUAGAUCAUGGUCGCCUUAGCAACGUUUAGCUCAUUUAUAAUUAAACAGACUCUGUCUGUGCUGCAAUAAUUUUACAGUCACCCACGUAUUGCCUUCCUUCUCUUUCUUAUGGUUCUUGGUGUGUUCUUGUUCAGCAUAUUGUGUCAUGGUGAAUUGGAUUAAAGGACUCAGGUGCGAGACUCCUUGCAGAAUGACAGUGGAUUUAUUUACAGUGAAAAGACAUGCCCUGUAAGGAUAUGAGGAGAAAACAGUGUCAAAAGGAGCUGUGUGAGGCUGCUAAAGGCAGUGGAUCCUUCACCAGCUGGAUUAAAAAGAAUGGACAGCAAGUGGAGCUCGAUAGCUCAGAUGAGAUGGAAGGAGGGAGAGAGGCAAAGAGUGAUUCACAGACAAAGCCUAGUUUAUUUUCAUCUGUUGUCUUAUGAUUCCAUUGCUGUCACCAAUCUUUGCAUUUUAUUUUUUAUCUGAUAACACUUGUUAUCAGCAGCAGAAGCAGCAGCCACCCCUCAACAGCAACAGUGUACACCAUCAAGUAAAAGAAAUCCUUCUGUCAACACUCAUCUCCACCCACCCCACCCUGGCUGCACUCUUGUUUUCACCUGUGUCUGUUGCUUUGGAUGGUUGAGUACUUAAAGAGGACAUGAAAGAAUACAAAUAUAAAGUAUAAUACCCUACUACCCUACAUUCAUCAUCCUUCAUCGUCUCUUGAUUCAGUAACUUGAAUAUGCAAAUGUGCACAUUUUACUAAUAAAAACCUACAGAAAUCCCUAUAAAUUAAGGCAGCGGUCUCCAACCUUUGUUGCGCA